UGGGGAAUUUUGGACAAUGGGGGAAACCCUGAUCCAGCCAUCCCGCGUGUGCGAUGAAGGCCUUCGGGUUGUAAAGCACUUUUGGCAGGAAAGAAACGUCAUGGGUUAAUACCCCGUGAAACUGACGGUACCUGCAGAAUAAGCACCGGCUAACUACGUGCUAGCAGCCGCGGUAAUACGUAGGGUGCAAGCGUUAAUCGGAAUUACUGGGCGUAAAGCGUGCGAAGGCGGUUCGGAAAGAAAGAUGUGAAAUCCCAGAGCUCAACUUUGGAACUGCAUUUUUAACUACCGGGCUAGAGUGUGUCAAAGGAAGGUGGAAGUCCGCGUGUAGCAGUGAAAUGCGUAGAUAUGCGGAGGAACACCGAUGGCGAAGGCAGCCUCCUGGGAUAACACUGACGCACAUGCACGAAAGCGUGGGGAGCAAACAGG
rnacentral:rRNA from 1 species